rnacentral:rRNA from 1 species
UUACGGGAGGCAGCAGUGGGGAAUAUUGCACAAUGGGCGGAAGCCUGAUGCAGCGACGCCGCGUGAGGGAUGACGGCCUUCGGGUUGUAAACCUCUUUCAGCAGGGACGAAGCGUAAGUGACGGUACCUGCAGAAGAAGCGCCGGCCAACUACGUGCCAGCAGCCGCGGUAAGACGUAGGGCGCGAGCGUUGUCCGGAUUUAUUGGGCGUAAAGAGCUCGUAGGCGGCUUGUCGCGUCGACUGUGAAAACCCGCAGCUCAACUGCGGGCCUGCAGUCGAUACGGGCAGGCUAGAGUUCGGUAGGGGAGACUGGAAUUCCUGGUGUAGCGGUGAAAUGCGCAGAUAUCAGGAGGAACACCGGUGGCGAAGGCGGGUCUCUGGGCCGAUACUGACGCUGAGGAGCGAAAGCGUGGGGAGCGAACAGGAUUAGAUACCCUGGUAGA